rnacentral:tRNA from 1 species
UGCGUUGUGGAGCAGUCAGGUCAGCUCGUCAGGCUCAUGCCCUGAAGGUCGUAGGUUCAAAUCCUGCCAGCGCU